rnacentral:rRNA from 1 species
CCUACGGGUGGCAGCAGUGGGGAAUUUUGCGCAAUGGGGGCAACCCUGACGCAGCAACGCCGCGUGAGUGAUGAAGGCCUUCGGGUCGUAAAGCUCUGUCAGAGGGGAAGAAAUGCAGGUGGUGAACAACCAUUCUGUUUGACGGUACCCUCAAAGGAAGCACCGGCUAACUCCGUGCCAGCAGCCGCGGUAAUACGGAGGGUGCGAGCGUUGUUCGGAAUUACUGGGCGUAAAGAGCGCGUAGGCGGUAAAGCAAGUCAGAUGUAAAAUCCCCUGGCUCAACCAGGGAAUUGCGUUUGAUACUGCUUUACUGGAGUACAAAAGAGGAGAAUGGAAUUCCCGGUGUAGGGGUGAAAUGCGUAGAUAUCGGGAGGAACACCAGUGGCGAAAGCGGUUCUCGGGAUUGAUACUGACGCUGAGGCGCGAAAGCGUGGGGAGCAAACGGGAUUAGAUACCCCGGUAGU